rnacentral:lncRNA from 1 species
AUGGCAAUUUCCCAGGAAAUUCUGAUGCUCUGGCUCUUGAUUGUGCUUUUGCAAUCACUAGUUUUGAAACACUGGAAUCUUCUGGAAGAAAAAACAUUUUUUUAUUUUUUAACAGCUAGCCUCUCUAAUCAGAGAUCAGGACUUCUGCUCCCAAGCCUGCUGUUGCUUUGCUGUGUGAAGAGCUGUUUAUCGUCUGGGCACAGUACUGUCCCAUCGAAGAAACAGCGUUUCCACGUUCAGCCCCAUUUAAUGAACGCAAGUUUUGCAAGAUCCAGCUUCAAAGGCAGACCACUGGCAAAGGAAGGGGAAGGGAAUUGACUGAUGUGGAAAAUCGCACACUCUGGGCUUUUUGCACUGAUUGAAAGGUGUUAACCCCUGCCUGGCCAGCAGCAGUGUCUGGGGGGGAGCAAAACACCCUGGUGUAAUAGGGCAAGGUCUGGAUGAGUCCAAAUUGUUUUCUUGCAGAAAAAUAGGAUUUUGAAACAUUCAUCUCCCAGUCACUUUUUAUGGAUUGUUUCCAUUUUUGUGAACAAAGGCAAACACGCUAAGAGGAAAAUGGUUUUAACCGUUCAGCUUCACUUUGAAUGUUUCAGAGAAAAAAAAGAAAAA